UACGGGGGGGGCAAGCGUUGUUCGGAAUUACUGGGCGUAAAGGGCUCGUAGGCGGCCGACUAAGUCGAACGUGAAAUCCCUCAGCUUAACUGGGGAACUGCGUCCGAUACUGAUUGGCUUGAAUCCGGAAGAGGGAUGCGGAAUUCCAGGUGUAGCGGUGAAAUGCGUAGAUAUCUGGAGGAACACCGGUGGCGAAGGCGGCAUCCUGGGUCGGUAUUGACGCUGAGGAGCGAAAGCCAGGGGAGCAAACGGG
rnacentral:rRNA from 1 species